CCUACGGGUGACAGCAGUGGGGAAUAUUGCACAAUGGGGGAAACCCUGAUGCAGCGACGCCGCGUGAGUGAAGAAGGAAUUCGGUAUGGUAAACUCUAUCAGCAAGGGAGAAAAUGACGGUACCUGAGUAAGGAGCCCCGGCUAAAUACGGGCCCGCAGCCGCAGGAAUACGUAGGGGGCCAGCGUUAUCCGGAUUUACUGGGUGUAAAGGGGGCGUAGACGGCAGUGCAAGUCUGGAGUGAAAGGCGGGGGCUCAACCCCCGGACUGCGCUGGAAACUGUAUGGCUGGAGUGCAGGAGAGGUAAGUGGAAUGCCUAGUGUAGCGGUGAAAUGCGUAGAUAUUAGGAGGAACACCAGUGGCGAAGGCGGCUUACUGGACUGUAACUGACGUUGAGGCUCGAAAGCGUGGGGAGCAAACAGGAUUAGAUACCCGGGUAGUC
rnacentral:rRNA from 1 species